UUGAGCGCUGGCGGCAUGCUUUACACAUGCAAGUCGAACGGCAGCGCGGGCUUCGGCCUGGCGGCGAGUGGCGAACGGGUGAGUAAUACAUCGGAACGUGCCCAGUAGUGGGGGAUAGCUCGGCGAAAGCCGGAUUAAUACCGCAUACGACCUGAGGGUGAAAGCGGGGGAUCUUCGGACCUCGCGCUAUUGGAGCGGCCGAUGGCAGAUUAGCUAGUUGGUGGGGUAAAGGCCUACCAAGGCGACGAUCUGUAGCUGGUCUGAGAGGACGACCAGCCACACUGGGACUGAGACACGGCCCAGACUCCUACGGGAGGCAGCAGUGGGGAAUUUUGGACAAUGGGCGAAAGCCUGAUCCAGCAAUGCCGCGUGUGUGAUGAAGGCCUUCGGGUUGUAAAGCACUUUUGGCGGGAACGAAAAGGACUGUGCCAAUACCACGGUUCGAUGACGGUACCCGCAGAAUAAGCACCGGCUAACUACGUG
rnacentral:rRNA from 1 species